rnacentral:lncRNA from 1 species
CCUGGUCUCGAGGGGCGCCCCAGCUAAGCCGGGCAGCGUCCUGGCCGGGACUGGGCAGCAGGGAGUACAGAGUCGCGGGACCGCUCCUCGGGCUGGACCCUUCUCCAGACCAAAGACGGCGCCUGGGGCGGGGAGAGACGGACCCCCCUUCAUGGAGACAGACACACGCUGACUCCGAUUGACCCAGGUCCCCAACUUCCCCUCAGCAUUAACUAGAACGCUCUCCCCUUUCCAGUGGAGGGCGUCCCACCCUUCUUCCCGGCCCUUCUUUUAACCCACUUCCCCUGGGAGUUUCCGGGACCCCUCCCCUCAAUCCUCCCAUCCCCGGGAUCUCGGGAGACUGUUCCUCCCUCUCUGCUCAGCUGACCCUCCACUUGCCCCCAUUUCUGAGGGAGGUAAGUUGGGGGAGAGUAAAUUCUCUCUCCACUCCCUCCUCCCGAGGCUGGAUUUAACCUGGAAAGUGCUUUGAGAAGGCACCUCCUCCCCCACUCCCUCUGUAGUCUAGUCUAGUGGGUCACGGAGCCCCUACCACCCACCCACCUCCAAGUUGCUCAGCUUCGACCAUUCAGAGGAAAGAAGUUAUGUUAUUUGUGUGUGUUAAAAAUGCGUGUGGAGGUUUUUA